ensembl:snoRNA
ACCGAGACUAGAGUCACAUCCUAACACAUUUCAUUGUCUUGGUGUGCUAUAGUCCUCGAAGAUAAAUUUUUGAUCCUUAUUCACUGGCUGUGGUGUUUCGUAUCUCAGUCAGCCACCGAAUCAGAGACAUUC